ACUUGGAUUAUUGCACUGAUCUUAUUAGGCAAAAAAUGCUGCAUUUCCUUUAUUUAGCAUUCAGGAGCAGGAUCUUUGCACCUCUGCAUACUCUCCUCUUUUCUACUCUAUGCACAGCAGAACCAAACCUAGGACACCAGCCAAAGCUUUGGAUGGUCUGGAAUGUGGAUUAAGAGCUGUAUGCAUAGCCCAGAACUGGCCCAGGAGGAGGAAGAGAAAUAAUUCCUAAUGUUGACAAGUCCAACUCUGAAAUGUCCAUAGCACUAUGGAGCCUCUGGAUGGAUGGACGUAACAAAGUCCCUUCCUCAUUGCGAUUAUUGGCAAACAACCUUUGCCUGUUUCGUCACCUUCCGCAGGUGCCAAGUCUCCCUGGUAUAAAGUCAAGUAGGAGAUGAAAGUGAGGUUAAGGACCAUAAUAUGGGAUCACAGAAGAACACCAAGUCCAGAUGAGAGUCUCAGAACUAGACAAACUAUUCUAAAGUUGAUUUGGAAAAAUAAGAAAAAGGAGCCAAGAAAAUUCUGAAAAUCUACCAGGAGUUAAAAGUAUGGUCAAGCUUCAGUCACUAAAGUGAUAUGCUACUAGUUCAUGGAUGGAAAGAUGGAUUAGUGGAGUAGAAAUAUAAGCCUUGAAAUACAUCCAGAUACACAUGGGAAUUUAAUUUAUGAUAAAGGUGGUAUCUCAAACAUACAAAUUUUUUUUUCCCAAAAAUGUAUUGGAACAAUGGAGGAACCAUAUGAUGAAAGAUAAAGCUGGAUCCAUAUCUCUACUACAUGCCCCAAAAUAAUAUAAACAUAAAAAAUAAAAUAAGACAAAAAGAUGAGUCAUUUUACAUGAGAGUAGGACUGUCUAAAAUAUGCAAAAGUUCAAAGUUAUGAAGCUUUGAUAAAUUGUGUUAAAUUAAUAAUAUAAAGCUGUUACGUGACCAAAAUACCACAUAAAAAGUCAAAAGACAAAUGAAAAAAAUGCUCCUCAAAUUGCAACUCAUAGAUACAUGCUUCAUCUUAAUAUGGAAAAAAACUAUUGGAAAUUAAGA